rnacentral:misc_RNA from 1 species
AAAUUAACUCUUGAAAUUGAUUUCCUAAAUUAAAUAGUAAGUUUACAACCUAAUCACAUAGUAAGUUAAUAACCUAAUUACAUAGUAAGUUUACAACCUAAGCUAAUGAUCAAAGCUCCCAAUCCUUAUCCUAGGAUCAAAAUCAAGAUAAUCAAGAAUCUCCUAGACACUCAUUUUAGUGGUAAUAAGGUUAGUUGUUUACUAUCUUC